rnacentral:tRNA from 1 species
ACUAUUUUGACAGAUAAUAUGUGCUGGAUUUAGGUUCCUGUUAAAUAGAGAUAAUUCUAUAAAUAGUUUAAUAAUUAAGAAAUCUAAUUAUUUUGUGACUUUA